ensembl:rRNA 5S_rRNA 5S ribosomal RNA
GUCUAUGGCCAUACCAGCCUGAAGCCCCCAAUCUCAUCUGAUCUCAGCAGCUAAGCAAACAUGGGCCUGGUUAGUACUUAGAUUGGAAAAAUGUGGUUAUUCACCUCUAAAAACACUAGUGCUAUCAUAGCUU